rnacentral:rRNA from 1 species
AUUGAACGCUGGCGGCAUGCUUUACACAUGCAAGUCGAACGGCAGCACGGGGGCAACCCUGGUGGCGAGUGGCGAACGGGUGAGUAAUACAUCGGAACGUGCCCAAUCGUGGGGGAUAACGUAGCGAAAGCUACGCUAAUACCGCAUACGAUCUACGGAUGAAAGCGGGGGAUCGCAAGACCUCGCGCGAAUGGAGCGGCCGAUGGCAGAUUAGGUAGUUGGUGGGGUAAAGGCUCACCAAGCCAACGAUCUGUAGCUGGUCUGAGAGGACGACCAGCCACACUGGGACUGAGACACGGCCCAGACUCCUACGGGAGGCAGCAGUGGGGAAUUUUGGACAAUGGGCGAAAGCCUGAUCCAGCCAUUCCGCGUGCAGGAUGAAGGCCUUCGGUUGUAAACUGCUUUUGGACGGUACGAAAAACCGACUUACUAAUACAAGUAGGUCA